rnacentral:rRNA from 1 species
UACGUAGGUGGCAAGCGUUGUCCGGAUUUAUUGGGUUAAAGGUGCGUAGGCGGCUUAUUUAAGUCAGUGGUGAAAUAACUCUAGCUCAACUAGAGGGUGCCAUUGAUACUGAUGGAGCUUAGUACAAAUGAGGUAGGCGGAAUUGACGGUGUAGCGGUGAAAUGACUUAGAUAUCGAUCGAAGAACACCUAGUAGCGAAAGGCAGCUUACUAGGCUGUAAACUGACGCUGGAGGCACGAAAAGUGUGGGGAUCAAAACAGGA